rnacentral:lncRNA from 10 species
GUCGGCUGCGAUUGCAGCUCUGGCCGCUUCCUAUGGUUCGGGUUCAGGGUCCGAAUCGGACUCGGACAGUGAGAGCAGUCGGUGUCCGCUGCCAGCCGCCGACUCCCUCAUGCACUUGACUAAAUCGCCUUCAUCAAAGCCGUCUCUAGCAGUGGCAGUGGACUCGGCUCCGGAGGUGGCAGUUAAGUGAGAAAAAGGCCUUGGAUUUGAGAAACAGCUGCAUGAUCUCAAUGGAGGAAGCUGAUUAAUAAGGCAAGAGUUUCCAGGCAGAGGUGACAGGCAAGCCUGAGAACGCAAAGAGCCUAGUGGGUUUGAAGAACUGAGGAAAAGCUGAUGUGUCUGGAGCCUGAUGAGAGCAUCUACCAAUUGGUAGUGUAGGCCCAGUAGAGCCCGAGGAAGAUUUGGAGACUGGAGUUCACCUUGACCCUGCCGUCAAAGAAGUUCAGUAUAAUCCUACCUAUGAGACCAUGUUUGCUCCUGAGUUUGGACCAGAAAAUCCCUUUAGGACACAGCAAAUGGCUGCCCCUAGAAAUAUGCUUUCUGGAUAUGCCGAACCAGCUCAUAUCAAUGAUUUCAUGUUUGAGCAGCAAAGGAGAACUUUUGCAACAUAUGGUAAGGUUAUGCAUUAGACCCUUCAUUAGAUAAUCAUCAAGUGUCUGCUAAAUAUAUUGGUUCUGUAGAAGAAGCUGAAAAAAAUCAAGGUUUAACUGUAUUUGAAACUGGUCAGAAGAAAACAGAAAAGAGGAAAAAGUUUAAAGAAAAUGAUGCAUCCAAUAUUGAUGGUUUUUUGGGACCAUGGGCAAAAUAUGUGGAUGAAAAAGAUGUAGCCAAACCUUC